rnacentral:rRNA from 1 species
AUCCAGACUCCUACGGGAGGCAGCAGUGGGGAAUAUUGCACAAUGGGGGAAACCCUGAUGCAGCAACGCCGCGUGAGUGAGGAAGUAUUUCGGUAUGUAAAGCUCUAUCAGCAGGGAAUAGAAAAGAAGGUACCUGAAAAAGAAGCCCCGGCUAACUACGUGCCAGCAGCCGCGGUAAUACGUAGGGGGCAAGCGUUGUCCGGAUUUACUGGGUGUAAAGGGCGUGUAGCCGGGCUGACAAGUCAGAUGUGAAAUCCGGGGGCUCAACCCCCGAACUGCAUUUGAAACUGUUUCCCUUGAGUGUCGGAGAGGUAAUCGGAAUGCCUUGUGUAGCGGUGAAAUGCGUAGAUAUAAGGAAGAACGCCAGUGGCGAAGGCGGAUUACUGGA